AGCCUGAACGCUGGCGGCGUGGCUAAGACAUGCAAGUCGUACGGUGUAGCAAUACACAGUGGCGAACGGGUGAGUAAUGAAUCGCUAAUGUGCCCCGGACUCUGGGAUAGCUGACCGAAAGGUCAGGUAAUACCAGAUGACAUAUCCUGACGGCAUCGUCGGGAUCUCAAAGGUCCGCCGGUCUGGGAGCAGGCGAUUUCGUAUCAGCUAGUUGGUGAGGUAACGGCUCACCAAGGCGACGACGCGUAGCCGGACUGAGAGGUUGGCCGGCCACAUUGGGACUGAGACACUGCCCAGACUCCUACGGGGGGCUGCAGUAACGAAUCUUCCGCAAUGCACGAAAGUGUGACGGAGCGACGCCGCGUGUGGGACGAAGUCCUUCGGGAUGUAAACCAUGUCAGGGUAAGAAAGUUCUGAUCUACCCAGAGAAGGCACGGCUAACUCUGUGCCAGCAGCCGC
rnacentral:rRNA from 1 species